ensembl:lncRNA
GGGGCGGCUCCCACCGAUUCCCUUUCUCGGGGGUGCGGAGCUGCCAUCGCUCCGCGCUGGAAAACGCUUCUCCGACCCCCCCCCCUCCCCCGCCCCCCCUCCACCCAUACGCUCCCGGUGCCCCCUCCGUUUAAAGCAGUGGAGCGUCAGAGCGGCCCUUCCCCAACGCGCGGCUCAUCGCUCCUCGCACGCCCGCUGCUUAUAAGCGCGGAGGGAGAAGCGAUUCCCAUAACGAAGGGCUGCGAAGCGGGGACGCCCGGCCACGCCGCACGCCGCCCACCUCCCUCCCCCUGCUGAUCGCCCGUCGAGAUACCAGCUCAUGGAGAAGACCUCCUUGAAGACCGUGCCAGGACCUAACAGCACUAGAAGCCAUCCGUCUGUCCACCUGCACUGGGAUUUCACCUGCGUUGGCAUCUGCGAGUUCCCUUUCUUCUGUAGCAGCGCGUGGAUCUCAGAGCGGUGGCACUGAAACACUGCACAGAGAGGCUGUGGGAGUUUUGGCGGCAUAUGCUUUGCAAACGGUGUGGUUUUCAACCAUUUCUAUGUUCUACAACUUUGGAAUAAAGAAAAAAAAAAAAGAAGGAAAAGUUUUGUUUGAUAUUAUUCUGGACUCUCAGAUCUUCCAGUUGUUCUCCAGAGCAAGCAGACAAGAAGCCUGGAAUACCUGCAUGCUGCCUUCCCAGUGCAUCGCAACCCGGACAGCUCUGUUCUAACAGAGACCCCUCGAUGUGAGGUGCCACCACCAGAUGUAACCAUGUGGCUGGCCCAGCAGCCGCUGGGCUGCUCGCUGUCACACCACACCUUUAGGACUCCAGCAAGAACAAAUACGCUGCAGGGGAGAUUCCUCAUUCUUAAUCUUGCACUUCACUUAAGUUCUUGAUCUUUUCAUCUCCUUCCAAAGGGGAAAAAAAAAAAAAAAAAGAAAGAAAGAAAAAAAAAACCCGCCAACAACCCCCCACCUUGACUGGUGUAUUGCAAAAGGACUAAUGAGGUAUGAGUAUGGAACUCACCAUUGUGCUUCAGUGGCUUCCACACACAAAGGUCAUAGAAUCAUAGAAUAUCCUGAGGUGGAAGGGACCCACAGCGACCAUCUCACAGCGUUUCUCUGGCAGGACCAAUGAUGUACCAGGUGCUUACAGAGGUUUAGCGUUUGAAAAAGAAUGAUUCCACUGUAAAUGUAUUUCGGCUUCUACAACAAGAGCAGUGUCAGCACGUAGUUAUAUCCCCUGUGUGCCAUGGUAACAUUUCUAAGAACAUCCACCGAGGGACACCUCUGAGAUGCCCAAUAGUGAAUAAGAAAGUGCAGCUCUGGGUUCCCCUCCCAUCACCAUACCAAAAGCCAUGCCUCACCUUAGCCCACUGCCUGAUCUCCAGUUGCACGCUGUACCCCCAAAAUCAGCUUGUCAGCAGUGCUUCCACAUGUGACUCCUCGCAGCAUGUUUUGCCCAAGAUUGGUUUCACACUCUCCUGUUGGGAAGUGGGAGGGCUGAGAUAGGGCUGCUGGAAAGUCAGGAGGUGCUGCCCAGCAAACCCACAGAGCCACUGCCUCCCAGCUAUGGCUGCUCACCUGUGACACAGUGUUUGCUGAUAGUGUGUGCCUCACAGCUGUUCUCAGAGCUCCAGAAAAUCCAUGUACGACACCCAGCCUCAGCCAGGGUAAAAGUACCUCAGUCAGCACUUUUAAUUCCAAUUAAAUGUUGAAACUUUUGGAAACUUGUCCCAACUUGUUACCUGUAGACAGGACACAAAUGUAUUUUAACACGUUUGCUGGCAAAUGCGCUAAAAUACAACACACCCCGUCAACACUGCGGGUCUGAAAUCAUGUUAAUUAAAAGUUUUUCACUGGCACUUUUUUUUUUUUUUAAAUACACCUUUAUCCUCG